rnacentral:rRNA from 1 species
AUUGAACGCUGGCGGCAUGCUUUACACAUGCAAGUCGAACGGCAGCGCGGGCGUCGGCCUGGCGGCGAGUGGCGAACGGGUGAGUAAUGCAUCGGAACGUGCCCAGGAGUGGGGGAUAGCCCGGCGAAAGCGGGAUUAAUACCGCAUACGACCUGAGGGUGAAAACGGGGGACCGAAAGGCCUCGCGCGAUUGGAGCGGCCGAUGUCGGAUUAGCUAGUUGGUGGGGUAAAGGCUUACCAAGGCGACGAUCCGUAGCUGGUCUGAGAGGACGACCAGCCACACUGGGACUGAGACACGGCCCAGACUCCUACGGGAGGCAGCAGUGGGGAAUUUUGGACAAUGGGGGCAACCCUGAUCCAGCCAUGCCGCGUGCGGGAGGAAGGCCUUCGGGUUGUAAACCGCUUUUGUUCGGGAAGAAAUCCUCUGGGCUAAUACCCCGGGGGGAUGACGGUACCGGAAGAAUAAGCACCGGCUAACUACGUG